rnacentral:lncRNA from 1 species
GCACACAUCCACGAAGCGGCCUUCCUCUUCAUCCUCACCCUCCUCAUCCUCCUCCUGCUCCGCCAGCUGCGCCAGCGCCUCCUCCAGCCUCUGCAUGCGGCCGCGGAGCUUCUCGCUGGGGCGGAUGGCAGCCGCCCGCUGGAACAGCCGCAGCGCUGCCUCCAGGUCCCCGCUGCCCGCUGCCUCCUUGGCACCGCUCACCAGCCUGCGGGGACGGGAACGGCGUCAGCACCGGCACCGGGACCCAAACCGGCACCGGGGGUCCCAGCCCCACCACCCCCAGCACCCCGCUCACCGCCGGUACUCCCGAUCCUGAUCCCGGUCCCGAUCCUGGUUCUGUUCCAGAUCCCGCUCCCGGUUCUGCUCCCGGUCCUGAUCCUGAUCCCGGUCCCGGUCCCGAUCCCGGUUCGGGUCCCGGUCCCGCCCCGGCCCCUCCAUGGCUCCAGCGCCGCCGCCGCCACCGCGCGCGCUUCAAACCGCGCCACUUCCCGUCCUACCCCGCGCUGUAUGCAAAUGAGCACCCGCCUCGCCCAAUCAUCUCCCCGCUUGGGGGCGUGGCUUCCCGUAGCCCCGCCCACCUCCGCACCUCCUUCUCGCUCCUCCCGCCGGCAGAGGGCAGUGCGGCGGGUGGGCGGGUAGCGAGCGGGGGGCGGGCUCCGCCGCGGGGUCGCCGGGAGACGGGGGGCGCCGCCGCCAUGGAGCCGCCCGCCGCGGGCCGGGGCCUGGCCGGGAGGGGGCGGCGGGGGGCACCGGGGGCCGUGCGGGGCCUGCCCGGGGCGGAGGUGCGGGGGGGGCGGCGGGAGCCGUGCGUGCUCAGCCUGGCGCAGCGGGGAGGCCGCUACGGGAUCCUUAUCCAGUGGCAGGACAGGGAGGGCGCGGAGCCGGAUUACAUCCCCAUCAACAGCCGCUUUAAGUGUGUGCAAGGUACUGACCCCCCCCCACGGCAGGAACCCGCUGCUGAAUCCUUUGGGGUGGCCCUGCAGCGGGUUCUGCCCCUCGUUUCGGCUCUGUGAGCUCUGAGGUUCA